ensembl:lncRNA
AAAGAGGAAACCACCCCAAAACCAUUGAUGGAUAUUCAGAAGAUUUGAAUUCUAGUCAAAGCUACACAACUAAAUAUUACUUAGUCUUCAGAGAUGGGGACUGGAUAAACAGCAGGAAGAAAAGAUGAUUAUCAGCAGGACAAGAAAUAUUGUGCCAAGUGUACUUUUAAAGAUGCAGUGGGGAGGCAAUCCUUUUGUCACCAUUCAAAUGUUUCUUAAAUUGAGUUUUUGUAUGCUAAUGGAUAUAAAUCCUACUCAAUAUUCCUUACUGAACCUCUACCCCACAAAAUCUACAGUUGGAGAACACAGUUGGAUUUCUAUUCUUAAAAGAGCUUUAUUUUGGAGAGGAGACCUAUUUCUAAAGGAAAACUAA